UGGGAGUUUGAGACCAGCCUGGCCAACAUGGAGAAACCCCGUCUGUACUAAAAAUACAAAAAACAAACAAACAAACAAAAAAAUUUAGCCGGGCAUGGUGGUGCGUGCCUGUAAUUCCAGUUACUCAGGAGGCUGAAGCAGGAGAAUUGCUUGAACCCGGGAGGCGGAAGUUGCAGUGAGCUGAGAUUGCACCAUUGCACUCCAGCCUUGGCGGCAAGAGCAAAACUCCAUCUCAAAAAAAAAAGAAAAAGAGAAAAAAGAUAUAGAAGGAACAAAUGACUACUUGGUUACCAACUAUUUUAGUUGUAUUUUGUAUAGUACUAUAUUAUAAAUCUAUGUUCACAUCUAACACAGGCAUGAGUGGAAGGCAGGCAUACAACAUCCUCUUAAACACUUCUAUUAAUGGAGUAUUCAGCACAUCACAAAGUAGCUUUAUGGAUAGCUUGGCUUCUGAAUUUUUUUAAACUAUUAAGUAACAUUAAUAAUUUCCUUUAUUCUAUGUGCACAGAACACCGGCAAUAAAGAUUUCAUUCAUUUACUCAAAAAUAUUUACUGGUUGCCUUUUUGGGGACAGGUACUUUAUGACUUUAUGACAUAGUUACAAUGGUAAAGUAACAAAAUUUCAUUUCAUACCAUCAAGUGUUUAAAAUUAAAAUAAGUAUUUUAGAUGUAGAUAAAUAUGUUUUUCUAAAAAUCACCAAACAGGAUAUAAGUAAUUUAUUUGAUCAUGGCAUUUUAUCACAUACUAUAACAAGAUCUAUUUAUCACAUACUAUAACAAGAUCUAUUCCCAGUAUCUAGAAAGCAAGCCAACGGGCCGGGCGCAGUGGCUCACGUCUGUAAUCCGAGCACUUUGGGAGGCCGAGGUAGGUAGAUUAUGAGCACAAGAGAUCGAGACCAUCCUGGCAAACAUGGUGAAAUCCUGUCUCUACUAAAAAUAAAAAAAUUAGCUGGGGGUGGUUGGCGUGCGACUGUAGUCCCAGCUACUCGGCAGGCUGAGGCAGGAGAAUUACUUGAACCUGAGAGGGGGAGGUUGCAGUGAGCUGAGAUUGCACCACUGCACUCCAGCCUGGUGACAGAGGGAGACUCGGUCUCAAAAAAAAAAAAAAAAAAAAAAAAAGACAGCCACCGAACUGUAAACCAAUUAAAUUGGGAGUAGAACUGGAAGAGUGUGAUUUAUUACCUUGUUUAUAGCCUGAAUGUCUUAAAAAAUGGGUCCCAACUCAAACUUUACAAUUAUCCAUUUAGUGUCAUAAAAUUCUAUAAGUCAAAUAUUAAAAUUGAUCUAUAAGUCUAUUCCCUUUAAAAAAGCCUAUUCCCUGAAGCUCUUACAAAAAUGAAGUAAUAAAGGUAUAUGUUUAACAUGUAUUUAUUUAUUUAUUUGAGGGUUGUGCUUUGUCACCUAGGCUGGAGUGCAGUGGCAUGAUCAUGGCUCACUGCAACCUCUACCUCCUGGGCUCAAGCAAUCCUCCCACCUCAGCCUCCUGAGUAGUUGGGACUACAGGUGUGCGCCAGCACACCUGGCUAAUUUUUGUAUUUUUUGUAGAGAUGCAGUUUCGCCAUGUUGCCUAGGCUAGUCUCAAACACCUGGACUCACCCAAUAAGCCUGACUUGGCCUCUCCAAGUGUUGGGAUUACAGGCAUGAGCCACCACACCCAGCUGGAAAAUGUUUAAAAUUUAUUAAGUGAAAAGUAACUCAUGCUGCAAUGAACGUACUAUGUAAAAAUGUAUGUAUGUGGAACAGGGAAAAAUAUAAACAGUCACAGAAAUGUGUUUAGGUUGGUAGCAUUCUUUUUCCUCUUAAAAAUUCCUUUUUUUGGCCGGGCGCUGUGGCUCACACCUGUAAUCCCAGCACUUUGGGAAGCCGCGGUGGACAGAUCACAAGGCCAGUUAAGUUUUCUUUUUCUUUUUUUCUUUUUUCUUGGUUGAGACGGAUUUUCGCUCGUCACCCACACUGGAGUGCAAUGGCGCGAUCUCGGCUCACUGCAACCUCCGACUCUUGGGUUCAAGCGAUUCUCCUGCCUCAGCCUCCCGAGUAGCUGGGAUUAGAGGCACCUGUCACCACGCCCGCUACUUUUGGUAUUUUUAGUAGAGAUGGAGUUUCACCACGUUGGCCAGGCUGAUCUCAAACUCCUGGCCUCAAGUGAUUCACCUGCCUUGGCCUCCCAAAGUGCUGGAAUUACAGGCCCGGCCUAUUUUUGCAAUAAUUAUGAAUAGCACACCAUUUAAACCUGUUGAUUGAGCCCUCCUUAAAUAACUAAAUACACUACUGGCCAACAUGGUGAAAACCUGUCUCCACUAAAAACACAAAAAAAUGGCCGGGCACAGUGGCUCAUGCCUGUAAUCCCAGCACUUCAGGAGGCCAAGGGGUGUGAAUCACCUGAGGUUAGGAGUUCAAGACCAGCCUGGCCAACAUGGUGAAACCCUGUCUCUACUAAAAAAAAAUACAAAAAUUAGCUGAGUGUAGUGGCACAUACCCGUAGUCUCAGCUACUCAGGAGGCUGAGGCAGGAGAAUUGCUUGAACCUGGGAGGCAGGGGUUGCAGUGAGCCAAGAUCGUGCCACCACACUCCAGCCUGGGUGACACAGCGAGACUCCAUCUCAAAAUAAAUAAAUAAAUAAAAAGAAAGGGACCGAGCGCGGUGGCUCAUGCUUGUAAUCCCAGCACUCUGGGAGGCUGAGUUGGGCAGAUCACAAGGUCAAGAGUUCAGGACCAGCCUGACCAACACGGUAAAACCCCAUCUCUACUAAAAAUACAAAAAUGAGCUGGGUGUGAUGGCACGCGCCUGUAACCCCAGUUACUCAAAAGGCUGAGGCAAGAGAAUCGCUUGAACCUGGGAGGCAGAGGUUGCAGUGAGCCGAGAUCACGCCACUGCAUUCCAGCCUGGUGACAGUGAGACUCUGUCACACACACACAAAAAAGAUAAAGAAUGACAAAAAUCUGUGCCUACAUUCAGAGUGACAAGAAUACUAAUGUUCUGCUUGUAGAAAAGACUAUUGGUUCAGAAUAUGUUAAAUGCAAAUAAUAUUUUGUAUAAUAUAUAUAAAUUACAUAUGCAUAAAAAGAGUAUCUAUAUUAGAAUCUUUUGAGACAGGGUCUUGCUCUGUCAACCAUGAGGGAGUGCAGUGGCACUACCACAGCUCACUGUAGCCUUGACUUCCUGAGCUCAAGCCAUCCUCUCGCCUCAGCCUCCUGAAUAGUUGGGACUGCAGGUGGUGCCACCAAGGCUGGCUAAGUUUUUAUAUUUUUUUAUAGAAACAAGCUUUUGCCACGUUGCCCAGGCUGGUCUCAAACUUCUAAAAGCUCAAGCAAUCUGGCCGCCUUGAACUCCCAAAGUGCUUGAGUUAUAGGCAUGAGUCACUGUGCCCGGCCUACAUUAGAAUCUUAACAGUGGGGCUGGGCAUGGUGCCCCAUGCCUGUAAUCCCAGCACUUUGGGAGGUCAAGGUGGGCAGACUACUUGAGGUUGAGGAGUUCGAGGCCAGCCUGGCCAACAUGGUGAAACCCCAUCUGUACUAAAAACACAAAAAUUAGCCAGGUGUGGUGGCACAUGUUUGCAAUCCCAGCUACUUGGGAGGCUGAGGCGGGAGGAUCACUUGAACCUGGGAAGCAGAGGUUGCAGUGAGCCGAGAUGGUGCCAUGGCACUCCAGCCUGGGCAAUAGACAGCGGGACUCAGUCUCAAAACAAAAAAAAAAAAAAAAAAAAAAGAAUCUUAACAGUGGUUAACUUCAAAUAGUGAAACUAUGACUGUUAACUGAGUUUGACAUUUUUGUGUUUUCCUAGAUUUUUCUACAAUAAACAUUAUUAUUUCAUAAUAAAGCAGUAAAGACUUUUUAUACAAACUAUUUUAAGAUAAACAAAUUUUGACAUAGGGGUUAUAAGUUAGGUAGAAUCUAUUUAUAUAAAAAAUGGAACUGUACUUUUGUGGGCCAAAUAAGCACUAUGUAAGUUUUUUUAAUUUUCCCAAACACAUGCACAGAAUUAAUAUUGCCUUAAAUUUUGUUAGCACAAGUUUGAGAGAGCUCUUUAGUUCAUAAAAAAAUGUUUUAUGGACCAGGUGCCGUGGCUCACACCUGCAAUCUCAACACUUUGGGAGGCCCAGGUGGGAGGAUCGCUUGAGCCUAGGAGUUUGAGACAAGACUGGGCGACGCAGGGAGACCCUGUCUCAAAAAAACAAAACCAAAAACAAGCAAACAAAAAAACAGCUGGGCAUGGUGGCAUGCAUAUGUAGUCCCAGCUAUUCUAGAGGCUGAGGUGAGAUCGCUGGAGCCCAGGAGGUGGAGGCUACAGUAAGCUGUGAUCAUGCCAAUGCACUCCAGCUUGGUCAACAAAGCAAGACUGUGCCUCAAAAAAAAAAAAGAAAAGAAAAGAAAGAAAGAAAAGAAAAAGAAAAAAAGUUAUGUACGUAUGGUUUUUUUUUUUUUUUGGAUAGAGUUUCACUCUUCUUGCCCAGGCUGGAGUGCAAUGGUGCAAUCUUGGCUCACCACAACCUUCCCCUACUGGGUUCAAGCGAUUCUCCUGUUUCAGCCUCCCCAGUAGCUGGGAUUAAAGGCAUGUGCCACCACGCCCGGCUAAUUUUGUAUUUUUAGUAGAGAUGAAGUUUCUCCAUGUUGGUCAGGCUGGUCUUGAACUCCUGACUUCAGGUGAUCUGCCCGCCUCAGCCUCCCAAAGUGCUGGGAUUACAGGUGUGAGCCACCUCGCCUGGCCGUUUUUUUUUUUUUUUUUUUUUUCUGAGACGGAGUUUUGCUCUUAUUGCCCAGGCUGGAGUGCAAUGGCACGAUCUCGGCUCAUCGCAACCUCUGCCUCACGGGUUCAAGCAAUUUUCCUGCCUCAGCGUCUCAAGUAGCUAGGAUUACAGGGAUGCUCCAUCAUGCCCGGCUAAUUUUGUAUUUUUGGUAGAGACAGGGUUUCUCCAUGUUGGUCAGGCUGGUCUCAAACUCCCAACCUCAGGUGAUUUACCCGCCUUGGCCUCCCAAAGAGCUGGGAUUACAGGUGUGAGCCACUGUGCCCGGCCAUGCUUAUGUUUUUUAACAAUACACUUCUGAACUAUCAAAAAGAAUAUAAAUCAAAAUCACUGAAGUAGUUUUUAAAAACUCCAAAAGCUACAAAACUUACUUACUUCAAUAUCAAUUAAAAACCCAUUUGAUAGUUCAAUAACUUGAGUCCUGCUAGAAUCAUUCUAUAAGCCAUCAGUGACAGUGAAGUGGCCAAAAUUUGAGUCACUUGAUAAGUACAAAGAACACAGAUUUUU
rnacentral:lncRNA from 1 species